rnacentral:rRNA from 1 species
UACGAAGGGGGCUAGCGUUGCUCGGAAUCACUGGGCGUAAAGGGCGCGUAGGCGGCCAUUCAAGUCGGGGGUGAAAGCCCAGGGCUCAACCCUGGAAUUGCCUUCGAUACUGUUUGGCUAGAGACCGGAAGAGGUAAGUGGAACUGCGAGUGUAGAGGUGAAAUUCGUAGAUAUUCGCAAGAACACCAGUGGCGAAGGCGGCUUACUGGUCCGGUUCUGACGCUGAGGCGCGAAAAGCGUGGGGAGCGAACAGG